UACAGAGGUCUCAAGCGUUGUUCGGAUUCAUUGGGCGUAAAGGGUGCGUAGGCGGCGCGGUAAGUCGGGUGUGAAAUCUCGGAGCUUAACUCCGAAACUGCAUUCGAUACUGCCGUGCUUGAGGACUGGAGAGGAGACUGGAAUUUACGGUGUAGCGGUGAAAUGCGUAGAUAUCCGGAGGAACACCGGUGGCGAAGGCGGCUUCCUGGACCGACACUGACGCUGAGGCACGAAGCGUGGGGAGC
rnacentral:rRNA from 1 species